AGCAGCCGUUCCGCCCGCAUCAUUUGUGUUCUCAUGGCUUUUUAUAUUGUUGGGUUUGCUUAUUUUAUUAGUAAUUUUGUUUGCAAUUGUAAUUAAUACAGUAACACACACUAUGAGUUAUUUGUUUAAUAGGUAAUUAGUCCAAUGCAUCUAUAGAUCGUAUCAUGUCAAGGUCGUUGGUUUAUUGUUUGUCUUUAAACGAAGGUCGUGCCGUGCGCCUCGGUCAUUCCGGAAAAUACGAGGAAAUUCAUCCGUUUUCCAAGGCGUUAUUCAAAUACCACCCAGUAAAUUAUGUUAUAAGCGGCGCAACUAUCAAGACAUAGCAUACACCGGUUAUGGUAGUAAAUUUCAUAAUCAAGUCAUCAUGUUUUAUGUGCAAAAGAACGUUUUCAGCAUUUGGUUUCCAUUUCGUGGGAGGGAUUUCUUUAUUGUUCAAUGCCUGUCGUGCGCAGCGACUGUGGCUUUUGUUGGUUACCUAAUUUCACAGCAAGCGGCGAGCGGUACACGAUGUUGCAAAGUGAGAGGCCGUCACAACCGGUCCGUUCAGCUCAUUCGACCGAGAGAUAUACACAUACAAGCGAGAAACACAUCUUCGUCAUAGGCUCGGGUUGUUAGCUUGGAGCUAGACUGGUUAAGUACAUAUGCGUUGCGUACAUGAGACAGGUAGAAGCAAUAAGUUCCGUUUCAUUUCCGAGAAACCGUUUGAUUACUUGUGUAGUAAUGUAGGUAGAUGAAAUGACGGGACAAACCCGGACGCAAAACGCGAUCGUGCGCCCCAACCUCGAAUUAACGUGUUGUAUCUUAUUGACGCAACUUGCGGAGGUGGUACAGGUCGAGUGAUGCAAAUUGAACUUUAAAUACUAUGGACCGUGAACACAUUACAUUUAUUCUGAUAUUGGCAUGCGUCAGCGAACGGUCGACGAUAAUAAAUGGAUCGCUUUAAGGCGAAUACUAGCGGAAAAUACACGCAACCGGGUUGUGAUACUAUGUUAAUUGGUUACCAACUUGUUAUUUUAUACUCUAUAUACUUAAGAUAAUAAUUGUUGUUUACGGUUUAUCUUUCAACCUUGGGUACAAUAGUGUCGAGAAAUACAAGUCAGAACAAAAACAAGACAAAAGUAAAAAACACGAUGUUAAAAAAACCAAUCGCGGCGAUUUUUUGAUAAGAUAAAAUGUAGACUGCAAGUUAUUUGUAAGCAAGCAUAUAUCACUACGUUGCUACGUAAUAAUGAAAUGAUAUUAUUAAUAACAAUUAUAAAAGAGAAUCUAUUUUAUUUUCGGCUUAUGUAUUAAACAGCUUAUGUCACCGCUGAUAAAUUCAAAUUUAAAUUUAACGCAAAAUUCAUAAAUGGCCUAAUAAUAGCAAAAUAAAAUCUUAGAUGUAAUAUUGCUAUAUGUUGAUAUAAUCACAAAUAAAAAAUUUUGGUUUAUCACUAGUUAACGUGUCUAAUUAGAAUAUAAUCGUGUAAAGUUUAUACAUUGAACAUUCAUAUUGUUAGUCAAUAAGGAAUCAUGAGAACCGAUAGGCGUAUUUAUAAAUAUACAAACCAAUGUAAACGUUUAAUUCAGGUAGUAGUCGUGUUGAUAAACAAUGUUUCGUUUGAACAAGUUGUAUUUUAAUGACAUAAAAGAGGAAAUACUUGAAAAGUAACUCGUCUGAGAAGAAACGCAGCUGGUGAAUUUGGCAAUGCGUCUGCGGAAGAAAUUGUUCUAACACAAUUUACUAACGUGGCCGGGCGGGUCACCGCAAGGAUUCAAUCUGGUGCCAUUCUCCUUCGUGUCGGGCGCUCGCGACCUUCCGUCAGAGGAGGGGCGCCUCUCACCGGCGCGGCGUGACGGUAACUACGGCCUUACUUUGCGAGGCUGUAUUGAAACUUCUACGUAACGAAGCUCUUUCCAACAGUUACCCAAUGCCUGAUAGGAGUUCCGUCGAUACAUACAUACUUGGCACAACAUAAACACUAACAGAUCACGUGAACUACUUGCGUAACCAACAUUGCAGGCACACCUUUUGAUACAAACGUGAAAUACAUAGACAUUUCUCAUUAUUGAGACAUAUUAUAAUGGUGAAAUUGCAUAUAGUGUUACGAAAUCGAAGCGCUUCUUAAUACAUUAUCAAUAAAUGAUUCAUGCAGUGUACGAUAUCAAUAAACUUACACAAUAUGCCAAUUUAUAAACCAAUACAAGUUUUUCUAUAUAUUACAUUCUUUGUCCGUAUGGUGGCGGAGUAAGACAUAUAAUGUGUCACUCGAUAAUUCGAAAGGGACUAUGGGAGUACUGAGAGAAAAAGGAAAAUGUGAAAUAAAACUGUAUAUAGAGCCAUUUAGCCGGCGUGGUAACAGUGCGUUUAUCUUCCUCUUAUAAAGACGAUCGACCCAUGUCUAGCUGUGGAACGUUAAUGGUUUGUUAUGAUAAUGAUGAUGAUGAUUCUAUACAUACAUUAUUAUUAUUAUACAGUAAUUGUUAAAUGUGUUUGUUAUAUUGAUAAGAAUAAACAGAAUUGUAUAUCUCCUAAAAUAA